rnacentral:rRNA from 1 species
CCUACGGGAGGCAGCAGUGAGGAAUAUUGGGCAAUGGGCGGGAGCCUGAACCAGCCAAGCCGCGUGAGGGAAGAAGGUACAGCGUAUCGUAAACCUCUUUUGUCAGGGAACAAAGGCGGGGACUAGUCCCCGGAUGAGGGUACCUGAAGAAAAAGCAUCGGCUAACUCCGUGCCAGCAGCCGCGGUAAUACGGAGGAUGCGAGCGUUAUCCGGAUUUAUUGGGUUUAAAGGGUGCGCAGGCGGUCUGUUAAGUCAGCGGUCAAAGCCCGGGGCUCAACCCCGGCCCGCCGUUGAAACUGGCAGUCUCGAGUUGGAGAGAAGUAUGCGGAAUGCGCGGUGUAGCGGUGAAAUGCAUAGAUAUCGCGCAGAACUCCGAUUGCGAAGGCAGCAUGCCGGCUCCACACUGACGCUGAGGCACGAAAGCGUGGGUAUCGAACAGGAUUAGAUACCCGUGUAGUC